rnacentral:rRNA from 1 species
AUCUUCCGCAAUGUACGAAAGUCUGACGGAGCAACGUCGCGUGCGUGAAAAAGGUUUUCGGAGCGUAAAACUCUGUUGUCGUAGAAGAACAAGCAGGAAAGGAACUGUUCCUUCCUUUACGGUCCCCUACCAGAAAGCCACUGCUAACUCCGUGCCAGCAGCCGCGGUAAUACGUAGGUGGCAAGCGUUGUCCGGAUUUAUUGGGCGUAAAGCGAGCGCAGGCGGUUCCUUAAGUCUGAUGUGAAAGCCCACGGCUCAACCGUGGAAGGUCAUUGGAAACUGGGGAACUUGAAUGCAGAAGAGGAGAGUGGAAUUCCAUGUGUAGCGGUGAAAUGCGUAGAUAUAUGGAGGAACACCAGUGGCGAAGGCGACUCUCUGGUCUGUAAUUGACGCUGAGGCUCGAAAGCGUGGGGAGCAAACAG